CACCUGGGGUGUCUGCAGAGCCUCGGCAUCCCGGCCAGGCGUUGGGGACUGCAGAGAGGGUACGUCUCGGCCGAGGCCAGCGGCCAGGACAACGGCGGGGGACUCACCUGCAGCAGCACGGCCAGCAGGAAGCACAGAAAUAAUCAGUUCCUCAAAUGCUCUUAGAACCAGCUUUACCGUGUUACCGGUACCUUCAUCCAUUAAAAUAAAAUUGUUGGCAUGAGUUCAUUUUGUGGUGGACAUUCAUUUAAGUCAGAGAUUCAUUCCUGAGCGCCCAACUUUAAUGAAAAGGUCAGUGGUGGCGGUGCUACUCUUACUACUGCUGUGCUAUUUCCUACACAACUGAAAGGGAGAAUUUUCUCUACACAGGGGGGUCGAUCAGUUGAGGCUAUGAUUCAGUAGUGUGGGGAUAAAAAUUUGCCUUAUACUGGGACAAAUGCCUCAAAGUUGCCCAGGAUUAAAAUCUGAAUGCUACUGGAACUGCCUGAACCACUUUAGUUGGUAGAAUAUUGCACAAAGAUGAUGGUAACCUGCAUAUCCAGACUCUUAACUCCAACUGGGCUUUCUAAAUUAAAACCAGCAAUUUGCAUUGACUUCAGAAAACAGGGGGCCAAAGUAGAUCUCAGAGACUCAACUUUGAUAUCCUGGAUCUGCUCAGUCUCAGAAAGAAGUGUCCAAUCCCAAAACCAUUCUGAAAAAUCCUAAAUAUUAGAAUUCAUUCAACAAUGCUUGCUGAGCAACCACUAUGUGCUGGGUGCAUUGUUCUAGGUGUGAGGGAUCCAGGGUUAAAUCAGCAAAGCCUCUCCCUCUCCCUAGUGGCACUUGCCUUCCAGUGAAGACUUUCUUGGCUGCAAUACCUGAUGGGUAGGGUAAGGUCGAGUGAGUGAGAGCAGGGUGGAGUUGUUGACUUUGGAAAUUUGCAUACUUGCAUGACUGUCUGAUCAUGAAGUGGACCCAAAAUCAAAACACAGCAAUGUGAACCAAGUAGAUUAUAAAGAAGGAAGGUAUCCAUUAUGUUGUCUUCAGUCUAAAGGCUCUUAUCACUAUGUUUAUCUGCCUUAAGAAGAAUUAGCCAAAUCUCAUCUCCCUGUAGUAGUGAAAGUCACUUGGUAGAAAGUUACACUUAAUGCACAAAUUCACAAAGAGAAUUUGCAUGAUUUUCAGUACCAAGUUAAUCCCUAAUUUACUGGCACACAGCAAUUUGAGCCAAAAGAUUAUAUUGCAUCUUAAGUGAUAUAAGCUCAUCUUCAUCCGUUUUCAUUUGAGAAGAGUGUCUCAUUCUCCGCCAAUCAGAGUAAAUCAAAUCCUCCUGUCACUUGCCUGUUCCAGCACAAGAUUUUGAAUGUUUUCAGUUUCAUUUUCUACUCCUACCAGGCCUGAGAAUCUCACUUCACUUUUUUUUUUUUUUUUUUUUAGUCACAGGACCUUUUGCAAAUCUAGUGAAAGUUAAUGUAUUUUUCUCAGGAAAAUGAGAGGGUGUGCUUAUACACACAUACAUUUUUCCCUUGGUUUUACUCCUAUGUUAUUGGCAAUUUCUUUUUUUUGUUUUGUUUUGUUUUGAAUUGAAGUAUAGUUGAUUUGCAGUGUUGCGUUACGCACACAUGUUUUGAAUGCCAUUUUUUCAGAAAUCACUGAGUCCAACCCCCCCACUAUAAACAUGUUCAAUUAAGAUUGUGGGAGGUUAGAGAACAGGUUUUAGGUGAUUCAGGAGUCUACUGAAAGUCACAUAGGUAGCUGGCACAGCAGGACAUAAACCAAGUACUCAAAAGUCUGUGGGUUUUGUUUUUUGUUUGUUUGUUUGUUUUUGUUUUUACUACCUGAGACCACACUCUGGUAUAGGCCCCAUCUCUAAACCAUUUUUUUUUCUUACCUGGAAAUAUUAAUAUAGAGCAACAUUAUCUUUGCAACACAUUUGCACUCUGAUUCCUUUGUAAACAGAGUAAAUGUGUCCCCAGACCCACGAUUUUAAGGUCUGGGCUUUAGCUAGGAGGGGCUUCCCCCGCUGUCUCCCAGGCCAGAAACUCUAUCUCGUUGGGCAUAUAUGCGAAUUAGUGAUGGGACUGCAGUCACAAACGUGUGCAGGAGGAGUGCUCGUCUGCUGUGUUUGCAGCCAGAGAAUGGAAUAGCAUGGUAGCUCUCCUUUGUGGAUUAUUCCUUACUCAACAGCCAUUCUGCUUUUGACCUGAAAAACUGGGCCACAGAGAUCCUGCCCCAUCAGGCAUCUUUCUAUUGGGCUGUGAAAGUCUAGCACAUGGCUAAUUACAAUUUGCACCUCCUUCCAUGCUCUAACAAUCCACGAAAAGAUGUUUUGUCUCUUUGGUUUACUGUUUGGAGUACUUUUUUGCAGACAAAGCAGUACACAGUUCCUUUGGAGGUACUUUGUAAUUUCAAAUGAUGGUAGAAGACGAUGAUCUUCUGUCUGGGUUCUUAAUUAUGUAUUCUCCGCCUGGCCUGUUAAAUGACUGUGUUUCUAAUGAUGUGUCAUUGCCAUGUACAGCAUCCUGGUAACGAGCUUGCCUUUUCCUCACCAUCUUCU